AUUGAACGCUGGCGGCAGGCCUAACACAUGCAAGUCGAGCGGAUGAAGGGAGCUUGCUCCUGGAUUCAGCGGCGGACGGGUGAGUAAUGCCUAGGAAUCUGCCUGGUAGUGGGGGAUAACGUCCGGAAACGGGCGCUAAUACCGCAUACGUCCUGAGGGAGAAAGUGGGGGAUCUUCGGACCUCACGCUAUCAGAUGAGCCUAGGUCGGAUUAGCUAGUUGGUGGGGUAAAGGCCUACCAAGGCGACGAUCCGUAACUGGUCUGAGAGGAUGAUCAGUCACACUGGAACUGAGACACGGUCCAGACUCCUACGGGAGGCAGCAGUGGGGAAUAUUGGACAAUGGGCGAAAGCCUGAUCCAGCCAUGCCGCGUGUGUGAAGAAGGUCUUCGGAUUGUAAAGCACUUUAAGUUGGGAGGAAGGGCAGUAAGUUAAUACCUUGCUGUUUUGACUGUACCAACAGAAUAAGCACCGGCUAACUUCGUG
rnacentral:rRNA from 1 species